rnacentral:rRNA from 1 species
CGUGUAGGCGGGAGAGUAUGUCGGUUGUGAAAGCCCUCGGCUCAACCGAGGAAUUGCAGCCGAAACUGCUCUUCUUGAGUACGGGAGAGGGAAGCGGAAUUUCCAGUGUAGAGGUGAAAUUCGUAGAUAUUGGAAAGAACACCAGUGGCGAAGGCGGCUUCCUGGACCGAUACUGACGCUGAGACGCGAAAGCGUGGGGAGCAAACAGGAUUAGAUACCCUGGUAGUCC